AGCACUUUGAGAUUUCUGUAAUGUAAAGUGCAAUAUAAAUAAAAUUUAUUAUUAUUAUUAAGUCAAGUCAGCAGUCUUCCCCAUUAUUGUAUAGCCAUGUGACCCAGACUGAGAGGCCAUUUAAAGGCCCAGGAUACCUUUGCAGGUGUAUUGAAUUAAUCAGUCGAUUAGGGUGUGACAGCAUGACUUUCCACAAUUUACCGCAUGCACAUCCAGCGAGUCCACGGUGAGAUCGUAGGGGUCCAUGUGGAGGUUGUUAAAGACUUGCUCCAGAGUGAUCUUUUGCCCGGCCUUCUCCAGAACCACCCGAUCCUUCUCUGUCUGAUGUGAACUUCCUGUGCGUUGUGGAUCAUUGUCCUGCUGCGGAACUCAAGUUAAUUUCAGCUGGAGUUCACAAACUGAUGGCCAGACAUUCUCCUUCAGGAUUUUUUGGUAGACAGCAGAAUUGUCUUCCCUGAAGCGAUGUGUCGGCAGGGAGCCUUGCUGGUGGCGUCAGCCAUCGGUGCUGAGCUCGGUGGUGGCGCUCCUCACCAGUGGCAGCACCGCCGUCAACACACAGCAGCAGAGGAGCGUCUGCAAACCUAAUCUCAUGUUGAUGGGACUCCUGAAAGUGAUGAAGCCUUAACACAGCUUAGUUUGGCAGGCAUUCUUUUAACAGGUCUUAAAAAGGGCCUUCGUUUGAGAAGGAUGCACACCAAACCAUGCAAGGUGGUGAAGUGAGCAGUCCGACCAGGUCAACAUUGGAAUCUGAACUAAGAAAAGAAGCCACUUACCCGACUCACUCUUCCUGCAGAUGCGAUGAAGACAAUGGAUGUCCGUGUUGUUGUGUACUCUUUAGCUGUCCUUACGAUCAGUGGAGGUCUGACGUGUAGACUAAGGACGUGGGAGGCUUUAUAGAAGCCGGGAGGGGGGAGCUGUACCUGAAUGCCAGAGCCAGGGGGAGGGACUGUGGGACAGUUCAUGUCAAGCCAUCCACCCCACAUGGAGACACACCACAUGUGCAUACAGUGGUGUGAAAACGUGUUUGCCCCCUCCUGAUUUUUUUGCCACAAUGUUUCAGAUCACCAAACAAAUUUAUAUAUAUAUUAGUAAAGGACAACACAACUGAACACAAAAUCCAAACCUACAUGGCCCUGUGUGGAAAUAGAUUGUCCCCUGUUAAAACAGAACUUUACUGAGGUUAACUGAGAUCUAUCAGUCUGAAAAAGGUUAUAAAGCCAUUCAUAAAGCUUUGGGACUCCAGCGAACCACAGUGAGAGCCAUUAUACACAAAUGGUGAACCUUCCCAGGAGUGGCCGGCCAACCAAAAUUAUCCCAAUAGUGCGGAGACGACUCAUCCAAGUGGUUGUAAAAGACCCCACAAUAACAUCCACAGAACCACAGGCCUCACUUGCCUCAGUGUUUAGGUCAGUGUUCAUGACUCCGCCAUAAGAAAGACACAGAGGGCAGAGUUUCAAGACAUAAACCACCGCUGAACAAAAAGAACAUUAAAGCAUUGUCUCAAUUUUGCAAGAAAACAUCUUGAUGAUCCCCGAGAGCUUUGGGAAAAUACUCUGACGAGACCAAAGUAGAACUUUUUGGAAGGUGUGUAUUUAUUUCCAUUACAUCUGGCAAAAAAGUAACGCCACCUUUCACCAAAAUAACAUCAUACCAACAGUAAAAUAUGUUGGUGGUAGUGUGACGGUCUAGGACUGUUCUGUUGCUUCAGGAAGUCUUGCUGUGGAAAUGGAACCAUGAAUUCUGCUGUCGACCAAAAAAUCCUGAAGGACAAUCCAGCCUCACUUGUGAAACACUGACUGUCUCUCAUUGUUACCUACUGUAGUACCAAUGGUUAGUGUUAUUUUGUCUGUUUGCUGCCUUUAAUUGCCCCCGGGGGUACAAAUAAAGUUAUAUGAAAAGAAUGGUAUAUACUGUAUAAUAAAUGAACAUAGCUGUACAAUAUUGGUUACACCUCGGCGAUCUGUAUGAAAAAUGUUUUGAUGGUAUUUUGGGGUAUUUUAAAUAGCUCAUCAUUGUUUUAGCUGAUGAAAGUAAUAAAAACAAAAACAGCUGUCAGCAGUGGCAUGCAGUAA